rnacentral:rRNA from 1 species
UACGUAGGGUGCGAGCGUUAAUCGGAAUUACUGGGCGUAAAGGGUGCGCAGGCGGUCCUGCAAGUCAGGCGUGAAAUCCCCGGGCUUAACCUGGGAACUGCAUUUGUGACUGCACAGCUGGAGUGCGGCAGAGGGGGAUGGAAUUCCGCGUGUAGCAGUGAAAUGCGUAGAUAUGCGGAGGAACACCGAUGGCGAAGGCAAUCCCCUGGGCCUGCACUGACGCUCAUGCACGAAAGCGUGGGGAGCAAACAGG